rnacentral:rRNA from 1 species
CUACGGGGCGCUGCAGUCAAGAAUCUUCCUCAAUGGACGAAAGUCUGAAGGAGCAAUGCCGCGUGAUCGAAGAAGCCUUUCGGGGUGUAAAGAUCUUUUCUGGGGGACGAAUUCGUGACGGUACCCCAGGAAUAAGCCACUGCUAACUUCGUGCCAGCAGCGGUAAUACGAAGGUGGCAAGCGUUAUCCGGAAUGAUUGGGCGUAAAGCGUCCGCAGACGGUUUGAUAAGUCUUUUGUUAAAUCCUGAAGCUCAACUUCAGGGCAGCUGAAGAUACUGUCUUUCUCGAGGCCGGAAGAGGCAAGCGGAAUUACUGGUGUAGCGGUAAAAUGUGUUAAUAUCAGUAAGAACACCAAAUGCGAAAGCAGCUUGCUUGGACGGUUCUGACGUUCAUGGACGAAAGCGUGGGGAGCGAAUGGGAUUAGAUACCCGAGUAGUC